AGUGAACGCUGGCGGUAGGCCUAACACAUGCAAGUCGAACGGCAGCACAGUAAGAGCUUGCUCUUACGGGUGGCGAGUGGCGGACAGGUGAGGAAUACAUCGGAAUCUACUUUUUCGUGGGUGAUAACGUAGGGAAUCUUACGCUAAUACCGCAUACGACCUACGGGUGAAAGCAGGGGAUCUUCGGACCUUGCGCGAUUGAAUGAGCCGAUGUCGGAUUAGCUAGUUGGCGGGGUAAAGGCCCACCAAGGCGACGAUCCGUAGCUGGUCUGAGAGGAUGAUCAGCCACACUGGAACUGAGACACGGUCCAGACUCCUACGGGAGGCAGCAGUGGGGAAUAUUGGACAAUGGGCGCAAGCCUGAUCCAGCCAUACCGCGUGGGUGAAGAAGGCCUUCGGGUUGUAAAGCCCUUUUGUUGGGAAAGAAAAGCAGCAGGUUAAUACCCCGCUGUUCUGACGGUACCAAAAGAAUAAGCACCGGCUAACUUCGUG
rnacentral:rRNA from 1 species